GGAUUUUUUUCUAAACGGCCGCAGAAUUUUAACUGUGCUAAGGUAGCAUAAUCAUUUGUCCUUUAAUUGGGGACUAGUAUGAAUGGUUUAACGAAAUUAAGCUGUCUCAUUUAUAUAAAAUAAAAUUUAAUCUUAAAGUUAAAAAGCUUUAAUUCAGUAAAAAGACAAAAAGACCCUAUAGAGUUUUAUUCUUUUAUUAGCAAAUAAAACAAAAGAAUUUUGUUGGGGCAACUAAGAAAAAAUAAAUUUUUCUUACACAUAAUAAAUAUAACUUAUCAUUAACUUUAAUAACAUAAAAUAAAUUACCUUAGGGAUAACAGCAUAAUUUUCUUUGAGAGUCCAAAUCGAAAAGAAAAAUUAU
rnacentral:rRNA from 1 species